UAGGGAAUCUUCGGCAAUGGACGAAAGUCUGACCGAGCAACGCCGCGUGAGUGAAGAAGGUUUUCGGAUCGUAAAACUCUGUUGUUAGAGAAGAACAAGGACGUUAGUAACUGAACGUCCCCUGACGGUAUCUAACCAGAAAGCCACGGCUAACUACGUGCCAGCAGCCGCGGUAAUACGUAGGUGGCAAGCGUUGUCCGAAUUUAUUGGGCGUAAAGCGAGCGCAGGCGGUUUCUUAAGUCUGAUGUGAAAGCCCCCGGCUCAACCGGGGAGGGUCAUUGGAAACUGGGAGACUUGAGUGCAGGAGAGGAGAGUGGAAUUCCAUGUGUAGCGGUGAAAUGCGUCGAUAUAUGGAGGAACACCAGUGGCGAAGGCGGCUCUCUGGUCUGUAACUGACGCUGAGGCUCGAAAGCGUGGGGAGCAAACAGG
rnacentral:rRNA from 1 species